CGCGACGCACCGCGCUCCCCGCCGAGCCAAUGGUUGCCCUGUCCGCGCGCGGCCACCUGACCUAGGGCGCCGUUGUUAUUAGGAGCGGCGAGGCGGGAGGCGCGGGGCAGCGGGGCUGGGCUCCGGCCGGGAGUCAGACGAGGGAGCGCGCGCGCGCUCCCGGACAGUUCUCCGCAGCCGCUCGCCCGAGCCUUCUACUUGGCCAACACAGCUGCCUCUACCACCUCGCGUGCCCGGUUCGUGGGCUUUCAGGUAGGAGGCGGCGCGCGGCGGGUCGGGAGUGCAGCAUCGCGCCGACCGAGGGGCGCGGCGUGGAUGUGGGGGGCGGGCAGGAGCGCCCCCCCGUGGACACGAGCGCGCGGGGCAGCGACAGCGGCUGGAUGGUUAAGGGCACGUACGUGCGGGGCGGGGCCUGCGUGGGGCUCUGGGCGCACGUGUCGCGGGAAAUGGAGUGGACACCGGGGGCUUCAGGGGAAGACAUCCAAACGACUGGGAGUCACGCGUGGACUCUUUCGCGCGAGGGUAGGUGUGCAGACCGGCCAGGCGAGCCUCGCGUCCGGACAUCGCAAGCGCUGGCAGUUUCCUUCUUGGUUCUUGGGAUGGUGUUUUGCUUCUGCGCCCGCGCUGGUAGGAGCUUUGCGCCCUACCCGCCUACCUCGUGCACUUGUCCACGGUAGAUUUAAACCACACACGAAUUCGAAAAACAAAGUGAAACUACAUCCACGCCCAGUGGGAGAUGAGAAACCAAAAGAAGCAAGGAUCUGAGAGCACAGUCCAUUUGAGAGAUGAUGCCAUGAGAUGCUGGUGAACGAGAGAGACAUUGAGCAGAAGAUGGCUGUCUUGGAGGAGUUUGGAAG
ensembl:lncRNA